rnacentral:lncRNA from 1 species
GCGAGUAGGAGAGAGGGGGAAGAGAUGGAAAAUAGAGAGAGAACAUAGAACAAGUGAUCGUUCGGGCCUUAAUGGUGCACUAGCUUGAGCUUGAGGUUAGCAUGCAAAGCCCUCGCUGCCCAUGAGGUCCAAGCAAGGAGGUAUCCAAUACCUGGAAAAUGCAAUCCGUUAGCAUUUCCAUUCAGCUCAGCAGCAGUUGCUUGGCUGGAGCAACUGCACCAGAAGUAUGCGACCUGAAUUGUGAAUGUCACAUCUGUCUCCAUUGCCGCGGAAAGCUCAUCUCUCCUACGCUGAUCCGAGACCAGCCUCUCCAGAUAAACCUAAACAAGAGCUAUUGUGAAGGUAAUCUUAAAACCAGUCUGAGAUCAGGGUGAGAGACUGACUUCCACCAGUACCACCUCCAUAGCAAUGGAAACAGGAUCAGCACAAGAAAGACCCUUGUCCUCGCAUAAAAUACGAGACUUCUCAGUGGAGUGCAAAAACAAACACUCCCACCCUUUCAACGAGGCAUUGAGGCACAGAUUAUGAGGCAGUGCACAACACAAACCAUGUUCCAUGAACAGACAAUACCUCAGAGACCACCCUGAGGACAUUUAAACUCUGGAGCCCCCAACGAGGCUUCUUUGUCAUGUUUACACAAACCCAAACUCAACUACAUGAUUUUUGUUGUUUUCUAAAACCUAGUGAGCUGCUUCCAUUUUGCCUUCAAAGAUAUGUCUAAGGCAGUCUCUUUUAACUUUUCAAUGAACACACACACAUACACACACACACACACACACACACACACACACACACACACACACACACACACACACACACACACAUAUAUAUAUAGUAGAGAGAGAGAGUAGUUAAUUUAAAUUUUUAAAUAUAUAUAUAUAAUAAUAAUAUAUAUAUAUAUAUUAUAUAUUAUUAACACACACACACACACACACACACACACACACACACACACACACACACACACACACACACACACACACACACAUAUAUAUAUAUAGAGAGAGAGAGAGUAGAUUUUUUUUUUUUAAAAAAACAUUAUAUAUAUAAUAUAAAAUAUAUAUAUGUUCAAUUAUUACAAUAUUUUUUGAACAUACCUUUUCUUUUUAUAUUAAAAGUUGCAAAUCA